rnacentral:rRNA from 1 species
GUUGAUAAUAAUAAGAAGAUCUGGAAGAUGAAGAUACCUCCAAAGAAUAAAAUCUUUGCAUGGUAUCUUCGUCGCGGAGUCAUUCUUACUAAAGAUAACCUUAUUAAGAGAAAUUGGCAAGGAAGCCCGCAAUGUGUCUUUUGUCACCAUGAUGAGACAAUAAAACAUUUAUUCUUCCAAUGCAAAUUGGCUCGUUCUAUAUGGUGA